AAGCAGGGGAUCGUAAGGCCUUGCGCUUUUGGAGCGGCCGAUGUCUGAUUAGCUAGUUGGUGGGGUAAAGGCCUACCAAGGCGACGAUCAGUAGUUGGUCUGAGAGGACGACCAGCCACACUGGGACUGAGACACGGCCCAGACUCCUACGGGAGGCAGCAGUGGGGAAUUUUGGACAAUGGGCGAAAGCCUGAUCCAGCAAUGCCGCGUGAGUGAAGAAGGCCUUCGGGUUGUAAAGCUCUUUCAGUCGAGAAGAAAAGGUUGUGAUGAAUAAUCACAACUCAUGACGGUAUCGACAGAAGAAGCACCGGCUAACUACGUGCCAGCAGCCGCGGUAAUACGUAGGGUGCAAGCGUUAAUCGGAAUUACUGGGCGUAAAGGGUGCGCAGGCGGCUUUGUAAGUCAGAUGUGAAAUCCCCGGGCUUAACCUGGGAAUUGCGUUUGAAACUACAAAGCUAGA
rnacentral:rRNA from 1 species